CCUACGGGAGGCAGCAGUGGGGAAUAUUGCGCAAUGGGCGAAAGCCUGACCCAGCAACGCCGCGUGAAGGAAGAAGGCUUUCUGGUUUUAAACUUCUUUUCUCAGGGACGAAGAAAGUGACGGUACCUGAGGAAUAAGCCACGGCUAACUACGUGCCAGCAGCCGCGGUAAUACGUGGGUGGCACGCGUUAUCCGGAUUUACUGGGUGUAAAGGGCGUGUAGGCGGGAAAGCAAGUCAGAUGUGAAAACCAUGGGCUGAACCUGUGGCCUGCAUUUGAAACUGUUUUUCUUGAGUACUGGAGAGGCAGACGGAAUUCCUAGUGUAGCGGUGAAAUGCGUAGAUAUUAGGAGGAACACCAGUGGCGAAGGCGGUCUGCUGGACAGCAACUGACGCUGAGGCGCGAAAGCGUGGGGAGCAAACAGGAUUAGAUACCCGAGUAGUC
rnacentral:rRNA from 1 species